UAGAGUUUGAUCCUGGCUCAGAAUCAACGCUGGCGGCGCGCUUAACACAUGCAAGUCGAACGAGAAAGCCGGGGCAACCUGGUGAGUAAAGUGGCGUACGGGUGAGUAACACGUGGGUAAUCUGCCCUGAAGUGGGGAAUAACACCGGGAAACCGGUGCUAAUACCGCAUACGAUCGUGGGGUCUGCGGAUCUUGUGAUUAAAGGAGCAAUUCGCUUUAGGAGGAGCCCGCGGCUGAUUAGCUAGUUGGUGAGGUAAUGGCUCACCAAGGCAACGAUCAGUAGCCGGUCUGAGAGGACGGUCGGCCACACUGGAACUGAGACACGGUCCAGACUCCUACGGGAGGCAGCAGUGGGGAAUUUUUGGCAAUGGGGGCAACCCUGACCAAGCAACGCCGCGUGGGUGAUGACGUCUCUUGGGACGUAAAACCC
rnacentral:rRNA from 1 species